GACGGACGCUGGCGGCGUGCUUAACACAUGCAAGUCGAACGGAAAGGCCCCUUUGGGGGUACUCGAGUGGCGCACGGGUGAGUAACACGUGAGUAACCUGCCCUUGACUUCGGGAUAACUUCAGGAAACUGGGGCUAAUACCGGAUAGGAAUCCUUGCUGCAUGGUGGGGGUUGGAAAGCUUCGGCGGUUUUGGAUGGACUCGCGGCUUAUCAGCUUGUUGGUGGGGUAGUGGCUUACCAAGGCUUUGACGGGUAGCCGGCCUGAGAGGGCGACCGGCCACAUUGGGACUGAGAUACGGCCCAGACUCCUACGGGAGGCAGCAGUGGGGAAUAUUGCACAAUGGGCGGAAGCCUGAUGCAGCAACGCCGCGUGCGGGAUGACGGCCUUCGGGUUGUAAACCGCUUUCAGCAGGGGCGAAGCUUGUGGUGACGGUACCUGCAGAAGAAGCACCGGCUAACUACGUG
rnacentral:rRNA from 1 species